AUGAACGCUGGCGGCGUGCUUAACACAUGCAAGUCGAACGAGAAGUGGAGACGGAAACCUUCGGGCGGAAGACUUUACUUCGAGUGGCGGACGGGUGAGUAACGCGUGGGUAACCUGCCUCAUACAGGGGGAUAACAGUUGGAAACGACUGUUAAUACCGCAUAAGACCACAGCACCGCAUGGUGCGGGGGUAAAAACUCCGGUGGUAUGAGAUGGACCCGCGUUCGAUUAGCCAGUUGGCGGGGUAACGGCCCACCAAAGCGACGAUCGAUAGCCGAUCUGAGAGGAUGACCGGCCACAUUGGGACUGAGACACGGCCCAAACUCCUACGGGAGGCAGCAGUGGGGAAUAUUGCACAAUGGGGGAAACCCUGAUGCAGCGACGCCGCGUGAGUGAAGAAGUAUUUCGGUAUGUAAAGCUCUAUCAGCAGGGAAGAAAAUGACAGUACCUGAGUAAGAAGCCCCGGCUAACUACGUG
rnacentral:rRNA from 1 species